UCCCCGAGAACAAAGUACAUCUGGAUAACCGUUGUAAUUCAAGAGCUAAUACAUGCAUGAAAAGGGGUUUUGUUAAGAAGCUCCUGCAUUUGUUAGUCUCAAAUCAACAUUUAAAUCAAUGAUGAAUCAUGACAAACUGCGAAUCUUUUUGUUAAUCAAAAAGAUGACUCGGUCGGGUCUUUCCCCUAUCAGGUCUCGUAGGAAGUGUAUUGAACUUUCUAGCCUUUGACGGGUAACGGAGAAUUAGGGUUCGAUUCCGGAGAAGGAGCCUGAGAGACGGCUGCUACAUCUAAGGAAGGCAGCAGGCGCGCAAAUUUCCCAAUGUUCAUUGAACGAGGAAGUGACGAUCAAUAAUAAUGUGUGUGUUUUAAUAACACGUGCAAUUAGAAUGAGUACUAUUUAAAAAUCAUAACAAGGAUCAAUUGGAGGGCAAGUCUGGUGCCAGCAGCCGCGGUAAUUCCAGCUCCAAUAGGAUAUAUCAAAGUUGUUGCAGUUGAAAAGCUCGUAGUCGAAUUUUUGGUUAAAGUUGUUGUUUGGUUGAGGAAUUCAAUUUCUUGACUAAAUAACCUUUGGCCAUUCUGUGGAAUUAGGUUAAGUAGGUGGUUUUAACUAAUCAACUAUUUAUCCCCACUCCGUCACUGAGAGCAAAUUGGGGUGCUCAAAGCAAGCUUUCUAUAGCUUUGAACAUUUUAGCUUGGAAUGACAAAGUAUGAUUUGAAUAUCACUUUGUUGGUUAUGAUAAUUAAAUAAUGAUAAAUAGGAACAGUUGCGGGGGUACUCGUACUGGAAAGUCAGAGGUGAAAUUCUUGGAUUUUUCCACGACGAACGACUGCGAAAGCAUUUACCAAGGAUGUUUUCAUUGAUCAAGAACGAAAGUGCGAGGAUCGAAGAUGAUUAGAUACCAUCGUAGUUCGCACAGUAAACGAUGCCGACUCGGGAUUGUUUUGCUUUCGCUUAAAAAUUAAUAAAGAAACAAAACAGCACCGUAUGUGAAAACAAAGUCUUUGGGUUCCGGGGGGAGUAUGGUCGCAAGGUUGAAACUUAAAGGAAUUGACGGAAGGGCACCACCAGAGGUGGAGCCUGCGGUUUAAUUUGACUCAACACGGGGAAACUCACCAGGUCCAGACAUGAGAAGGAUUGACAGUUUGAAAGCACUUUCUUGAUUUCAUGGGUGGUGGUGCAUGGCCGUUCUUAGUUGGUGGAGUGAUUUGUCUGGUUGAUUCCGAUAACGAACGAGACUCUCAGGGUAAGCUUUUUAAAAGGUAAUUCGCGUUACUUUUUAUUCUCCUUUCCCGACUAUUCGUUUUAAACGAAAGGAAGCGGAGAGCAAUAACAGGUCUGUGAUGCCCCUCGAUGUUCUGGGCUACACGCGCGCUACAAUGACGAGUUCAACGAGUUUAAUUGUUUUUCUUCCUUGCUCGAAAGAGUGUGGGUAAUCUUUUAAAUGCUCGUCGUGAUGGGGCUAGAUUUUUGCAAUUAUUAAUCUUC
rnacentral:rRNA from 1 species